GACGAACGCCGGCGGCGUGCCUAAUACAUGCAAGUUGAGCGCUGAAGGUUGGUACUUGUACCGACUGGAUGAGCAGCGAACGGGUGAGUAACGCGUGGGGAAUCUGCCUUUGAGCGGGGGACAACAUUUGGAAACGAAUGCUAAUACCGCAUAAAAACUUUAAACACAAGUUUUAAGUUUGAAAGAUGCAAUUGCAUCACUCAAAGAUGAUCCCGCGUUGUAUUAGCUAGUUGGUGAGGUAAAGGCUCACCAAGGCGAUGAUACAUAGCCGACCUGAGAGGGUGAUCGGCCACAUUGGGACUGAGACACGGCCCAAACUCCUACGGGAGGCAGCAGUAGGGAAUCUUCGGCAAGAGACGAAAGUCUGACCGAGCAACGCCGCGUGAGUGAAGAAGGUUUUCGGAUCGUAAAGCUCUGUUGGUAGAGAAGAACGUUGGUGAGAGUGGAAAGCUCAUCAAGUGACGGUAACUACCCAGAAAGGGACGGCUAACUACGUG
rnacentral:rRNA from 1 species